rnacentral:rRNA from 1 species
AGCGAACGUUAGCGGCGGGCCUAACACAUGCAAGUCGAACGAGAAAGCCUUCGGGUGAGUACAGUGGCGCACGGGUGAGGAACGCGUAGGUAAUCCACCCUCUGGCGGGGGACAACACUCCGAAAGGAAUGCUAAUACCGCGUAAGACCACGCUCACUUCGGUGAAAGUGGUUAAAGGUGCCUCAAAGCACCACCAGAGGACGAGCCUGCGUCCCAUCAGCUUGUUGGUAAGGUAAUGGCUUACCAAGGCGAAGACGGGUAGCUGGUCUGAGAGGAUGAUCAGCCACACUGGCACUGGAACACGGGCCAGACACCUACGGGAGGCAGCAGUGAGGAAUAUUGGGCAAUGGGCGCAAGCCUGACCCAGCCACGCCGCGUGAAAGAUGAAGGCCUUCGGGUCGUAAAGCACUGUGGGGAGAGACGAAACAGCGCAUCAGGAAAUGGGUGCGCCUUGACGGUACCUCCUUAGCAAGCACCGGCUAACUCUGUGCCAGCAGCCGCGGUAAUACAGAGGGUGCAAACGUUGCUCGGAUUUACUGGGCGUAAAGCGCGUGUAGGCGGACUCGCAAGUCGGUUGUGANAUCNCUGGGCUCAACCUAGGAACUGCAUCCGAAACUGCUUGUCUUGAGUNAUGGAGAGGGUGGCGGAAUUCCCGGUGUAGAGGUGAAAUUCGUAGAUAUCGGGAGGAACAUCAGUGGCGAAGGCGGCCACCUGGACAUUUACUGACGCUGAGACGCGAAAGCGUGGGGAGCAAACAGGAUUAGAUACCUGGUAGUCCACGCCGUAAACGAUGAGAACUAGGUGCAGCGGAUAUUGACCUCUG